UUUUCAUUUUCUUAGCUGAUAGACGAAAUAAUCGAGCCUCUAUGGAACUGUAGAUGUAUGUUUCUGAUGGCCCUUCAAAGCUUAGCAUCCCACCGAGUGUUUUCACUAGAAUUCUUUCUCACCUUCCUUGGUGCAAAAAACUGGCAAUCUGGAUGAAAGAGUUGACUGUAUCUUCAAUUUAAAAGCAUCUGCUGCUACGGUCUCAUUAUAAAACCUGAUUUAAUUUUUCAUGCCUCAUGCAAUUAUCUAUGAUUACAAUAGAAAACAUGGGCUCCCUGGUGUGCAUGAGUGAGAUAAAGUAGCAAUAAGUAUAGUAACCAGGAAUGCUCAGGAGUAUAGCAAAAUCCUUCCAAGUCAAGAUCACAUGCAUUGCCCACUGAUAUGAUUCAUCACUGCAGUUAUAAUAACCUAACUUUUUUUUUCAUUGUAGCAGAAAUUUACUGCAAGUUCUGGACAUCACGAAUAAUUCUCAGUGCCAAGAAACAGGCAUUCCAAAAAUAGAUCAAUACAUGGAUGUAAGCCAAGGGAAGUCCAUUAAGAAUGUUUCCCUCAUUCAUGAUCCAAGGAUUGAAUACUUUGCAGAUGGUUGAAAGGAAUCGCCUCUCUUUAACAGCAUCCUACUUCAAGCAUUGGAAUUUAUCGUAACUUUGGGUGUCAAGAAGUGGUUCUACUAUAUUAGUUUAAGAGGAAUGUCUAUUGGACCCAUUUAUUACUCGGUCAUUAAAGAGAAGGACAAACAAUGUCAUUUUAUAGUGCUAUAUAUCACUCUGUAAAUCAAACAGAAUUUCAAGGCAGUUUUGCAUCCAUGAAUAAGCAGCAUCCACUGUAAAUAAAAAGCUUUACCUAUUUAA